rnacentral:rRNA from 1 species
GACAGAGGCCUCAAGCGUUAGGCGGAAUCACUGGGCUUAAAGCGUGUGUAGGCGGAUCGUUAAGUGUCUUGUGAAAUCCCACGGCUCACCCGUGGAACGGCUGGGCAUACUGGCGAAUCUUGGGCCAACUAGGGGCAACUGGAACAAGCGGUGGAGCGGUGAAAUGCGUUGAGAUCGGAAGGAACGCCCGUGGCGAAAGCGAGGCCCUGGACCCUUACUGGACGCUGAGACGCGAAAGCCAGGGGAGCGAACGGG